GAUGAAGAACGCAGUGAAAUGCGAUAAGUAAUGUGAAUUGCAGAAUUCAGUGAAUCAUCGAAUCUUUGAACGCAUCUUGCGCUCCUUGGUAUUCCAUGGAGCAUGCCUGUUUGAGUGUCACGUAAACCCUCACACCAGUGAUGUCAAAGUCUCUGGAAGUGGAUUUGGACUGUGCCGUAGUUGGCUCGUCCUGAAAUACAUUAGCCUGCGUUUUUUAGCGUGCUCGGCAUGGUGUGAUAAUUAUCUGCGCCGUCGCCUUAGGCCGCUUCUAUAUGCGCUGCUUAUAAUUGUCCCUUGCGGACAGACACUAUAAAGCUCUGGCCUCAAAUCAGGUAGGAUUACCCGCUGAACUUAAGCAUAUCAAUAAGCGGAGGA
rnacentral:misc_RNA from 1 species